rnacentral:tRNA from 2 species
GGGCCGUUAGCUCAACUGGCAGAGCAACUGACUCUUAAUCAGUAGGUCCUCGGUUCGAUCCCGAGACGGCCCACCA